UCGGUACCUGUAUUUGUGAUUUGUGAGGAUGUAAACUGGUUUGAGAUAGCUAGUAACACUCCCCCGUAGCCAUCCUUUCUGUUUUUUGUAUAGAUGUUGUAUUGGGAGGCUGGGAUGUAUUCGUAUGGAGAGGUGUCAUUUGAGAGCCAUGUUUCAGUACCAAAUAUUAUGCUGGGCUUACAAGAGUCAAUGAUGAGUUCAACUUCAGGUUUUUUGUUCUUUAUUGACUGAAAGUUUAUUGUAAGCACUCUUAAUGGUUCUGAGUUUUUAGCUGUGUGAUUUGUAUUUUUGUUUUU
rnacentral:lncRNA from 1 species